AUGUGGCCGGUUCGUGAUGCCGAUCGGGGCGGCGCGACGGCCGGCCGAUUUGCAGGUGUGGUGGCGAAUGCAUGUCGUCACGGAGGUUCGAGAGGCUUUGCAUCUAUUGGCUUUCGUCAGUGCUUUCCAUCGCUUUGUUUUGAAUUUGGGAUGGUUGGCUUUGCAUUGGGUUUUAUGUGUAUCGAUACAUCAAGAUUAUUCAUUAGGGUGAUGACACAACUGCAUCCAUCUCACCAUCUAGCCUAG